AGUGGCAAAACAAUAAGCAUCACAAUACCAUUUCACUUUUUGGAUGUGAAUUUAGAUUAUUUUUGAACAGAGCUAUACACAUUUGAGAUAUUUGUGGUAGUAUUAUAUUUAUGUGAUUCAUGGAUUCUGAGUGUAUGCAAAUAGUACAUGAUACCUUGAUAAAGUUACAUAUUUAAUACAAAGUUGUGGAUCAUAAAAAUUGAACCUUCAAAGGUUAUCAUUUGUGCUCAUAAAAGAGGAAGGAAAGCAUAUCAAAACUUGUAAGCAAGGUGCCAGCGAAAUCCCGUGACCAGUCGUAGGCCAUGUUCAGUUACAGAUGUUGGUUGCAGAUCAUAACCAUAGCUGUAAACUGUUGAACAAAGAGUUGGUAUUUAUUUCCUGUAGAAGUGCAGAUCCCUUGUGUUGCUGUAGAGAAACAUAAUAACAAUAAAGGAGGUUAAAUGAUUUAGAUGCACUGUUCAAUUCACAAUUGCUUUGAAGAAACUUAAAUGAGUAAUAUAGGGUAUUCCAUAAAUAUCAGUUUAUCAGUGUAAUGUACUGCUCCAAUGAUACUAAUAUACUUGGUCUCACUCAA